GUGCUCGCUUCGGCAGCACAUGUACUAAAAUUGGAACGAUACAGAGAAGAUUAGCAUAGCCUCUGUGCAAGGAUGACACGCAAAUUCGUGAAGUGUUCCAUAUUUUU
rnacentral:snRNA from 1 species